rnacentral:lncRNA from 1 species
CUGGUGUGGGAUUAAAUUGUGCGCACACUACGCCACCUGAGCAGUGACAGGAAAUCAGAAGCCUCUCGCUGGUGACAGUCCCCCACAGUCCUUAAGAAACAGCAGACAGCCGCAAUGAAGCUUCUAGCCUCUCCCUUCCUUCUGUUGCUGACAGGGAUGUUCACGGCCACGGUCUCCAGCAGCCCGAAUCAAGGACGCCAAAAGCACCACAGGAAGUCACAAAGGCCCUCCAGAACCUGCCAGCAAUUUCUCAAGCGAUGUCAACUAGCAAGCUUCACCCUGCCCUUAUAGUUCCGAGACUCUGCCCUCCAGCUAGGCUCUCUCAACGAGAGGGAGAUGAUCAUCCCUGGAGCGCUUCUUAUCCCCCCACCCCCAUCCUCACCAAGAGCACCCCAGCGCUCUCGAAGGCACGGCCCAGCUGUGUACCUGCCACUGUGUCCUCUGCACUUGUCACUCUUCUUACAUGCCUUCUGUCCGGGGUCUAAAAGGCAGGUGAAGCACUGAAUCAGAGACUGCCUGGUUAGAAGCAAUAAAGGUUUAGAAAUUGUGGUUUCUUAGCAUCU